UACGUAGGGGGCAAGCGUUGUCCGGGUUUAUUGGGCGUAAAGAGCUCGUAGGCGGCUUGUCGCGUCGACCGUGAAAACCCGCGGCUCAACUGCGGGCUUGCAGCCGAUACGGGCAGGCUAGAGUUCGGUAGGGGAGACUGGAAUUCCUGGUGUAGCGGUGAAAUGCGCAGAUAUCAGGAGGAACACCGGUGGCGAAGGCGGGUCUCUGGGCCGAUACUGACGCUGAGGAGCGAAAGCGUGGGGAGCGAACAGG
rnacentral:rRNA from 1 species